CUGACUCCUCACCCUCUACCUGCCUAGUCAUAUUUGUUUCAACCAUUGUAUUUCAGGUGGUUGAGUUGUACCUUAGUUAUUUCUGGUCCCAUGCAUGGAGAACCAGGACACUGAGUUUCUGGUUAAACAGGUAGAGAAGAGUGGCUGGUAAUUUGGCAUCACUGGGAUUCUGAUUCCAGACAUCCUACCAGCCUGACAUCCACUGGGAAAGUGAUGACACCAUAAAUUAUUUAGAGGUUUGAAAACCAUGAGAACUACUGUAUAUAACCAGAUUGGAUUGACUUUUUAACUCUUUUGAUUAAUAAUACAUAAAGCCUUGGAUAUGUGAAGUGGUCGAGUGCUAACCUGUUAACAAAAGGAGUAGCAGAGAUGAAUUCUAACAUUUCUCACAAGUUAUUCUACUUAACACAUUAGCCAAACAAAAUAAACAAAUGAAAUGCUCUGCCUUAGUCUUAUACCUUCAGUGCACCAUCAAUAUUUUAUGACUAUCUAAUGUCUCUAUAUAUCUGGCUACAGAUGAUAUUUUGAUCAUCUGGCUUACCAAUUUCAAUCUUAUCUUCUUUUUCCUGUAUUUGUGAAAACAUGCCUGUAGAAAGUAGAAAAAGGGUUUCAAUAUCCUGGUUUCCUUUUUGACUUUCAUUUUAACAGUACUAACUGCUCAGAUGUGAAAAUGAUAUUUCAGUCUUAAAAACAGCAAAUGAGAACCAGAAUUUCCUCAUUUAUGUCAUUUUUUUUUCUCUGCAGCAGGAUGGGAGUAGACAUUUGCACUUCUACAGAUAGAUUUCAUGUUCUGCACUUCUGCUAUUGACUCUGUUUUAAUUACCCACUUGUUUCUUAAGUUUUGUUUUCUUACAGGUUGCUUUGGGUGGAGCUUUCAGAGAAAAGAGACAUUGUUAUUUCCCUCCUAUUGAAAAAUAGAAGAUGGUGCUCAUGACAGUCUGCAUUUCUGAGCAACAAAAAAAUGACAAGAGACAUCACUGUGCUUCUGGGUUGCGUGGCCCAUACUUCAGGAGAUUGGCUAUCCAGGGUGAUUUCAGAACAAUACAUUAAUUUACAAUAGAAACAAACA